rnacentral:rRNA from 1 species
GUGGGGAAUCUUGCGCAAUGGGCGAAAGCCUGACGCAGCCAUGCCGCGUGAAUGAUGAAGGUCUUAGGAUUGUAAAAUUCUUUCACCGGGGACGAUAAUGACGGUACCCGGAGAAGAAGCUCCGGCUAACUUCGUGCCAGCAGCCGCGGUAAUACGAAGGGGGCUAGCGUUGCUCGGAAUUACUGGGCGUAAAGGGCGCGUAGGCGGACAGCUUAGUCAGAGGUGAAAGCCCAGGGCUCAACCUUGGAAUUGCCUUUGAUACUGGCUGUCUUGAGUGUGGGAGAGGUGAGUGGAACUCCGAGUGUAGAGGUGAAAUUCGUAGAUAUUCGGAAGAACACCAGUGGCGAAGGCGACUCACUGGCCCAAUACUGACGCUGAGGCGCGAAAGCGUGGGGAGCAAACAGGAUUAGAAACCCUAGUAGUCC